UACGGGAGGCAGCAGUGGGGAAUUUUCCGCAAUGGGCGCAAGCCUGACGGAGCAAUACCGCGUGAGGGAUGACGGCCCUUGGGUUGUAAACCUCUUUUAUCAAGGAGGAAGUUCUGACGUGUACUUGAUGAAUAAGCAUCGGCUAACUCCGUGCCAGCAGCCGCGGUAAGACGGAGGAUGCAAGUGUUAUCCGGAAUCACUGGGCGUAAAGCGUCUGUAGGUGGUUCGAAAAGUCCACUGUUAAAAAUUGAGGCUUAACUUCAAAGAUGCCGUGGAAACUUUCAAACUAGAGUAUGGUAGGGGUAGAGGGAAUUUCCAGUGGAGCGGUGAAAUGCGUAGAUAUUGGAAAGACCACCGAUGGCGAAGGCACUCUACUGGGCCAUUACUGACACUGAGAGACGAAAGCUAGGGGAGCAAAUGGGAUUAGAUACCCCACGUAGUCCUACGCUGUAAACGAUGGAUACUAGAUGUUGUGUGUAUUGACCCAUGCAGUAUCG
rnacentral:rRNA from 1 species